UACGGAGGGUGCAAGCGUUGCUCGGAAUUAUUGGGCGUAAAGGGUAGGUAGGUGGUCUCAUUUGUCAGGGGUGAAAUCCUUGGGCUUAACUCAAGAAGUGCCUUUGAAACGGUGAGACUGGAGUCCUGGAGAGGGUCGUGGAAUUCCCGGUGUAGCGGUGAAAUGCGUAGAGAUCGGGAGGAACACCAGAGGCGAAGGCGGCGACCUGGACAGGCACUGACACUCAACUACGAAAGCGUGGGGAG
rnacentral:rRNA from 1 species